AAUCAAUCGAAAUACCAAUGAGUCCAUCAUGGUCCUUAGAUAAGGAUAAAGGAUGAAAAACCAUGGAUGAAACCAAGUAUCGUGGAAUGAUUGGUUCUUUACUCUACUUAGCCGCUGCUCGACUAGAUAUCAUGUUUAGCGCAUGAAAAUGUGUUAGGUUCCCAUCAGUUCCUAAAGAAUCUCAUUUGAUUGCAGUCAAAAGACUCGUUAUCUUGUUGGAACCACAUCAUGUGAAUUAAGGUAUCCUCGUUCAAACAAUUUCAAAUUAGAAGGUUUUCUAGAUGCAGAUCUUGGAGGUGACCAGGAUGACAGAAAAAACACUAGUGGAACAUGCCAACUCAUUGAAAAAUCUGUAAUUUCUUGGAAUAGCGAAAUUAGAGUUCUGUAGCAUUAUCUACAAUAGAAGCAAAAUAUAAUUCUAUAGUACAAUGUUGCGCCCAACUACUAUGAAUGUCACAUCAACUUAAUGAUUAUGAUAUUCGUUUUAAACCAAAUCAAAUUUUUUGUGAUAAUUCUAGUGCUAUCUGUUUAUCAAAAAAAUCUUGUGCAUCAGUGUUGGACAAAAUAUAUAGAUAUUAAGCAUUAUUUUAUUGAAGAUCAUAUGAUAAAAGGAGAAAUUAAAAUUUUAUUUAUUGGAAUGUUGGAUCAGUUGGCAGAUAUUUUAACCAAACCCUUGCUUGAAGAAAGGUUUGGUACACUAAGAAGUGCUCUUGGCAUUAUUUCUAAUUCUCAUUAAUUUCUCACUUAUUUGGGGCAUAAUAUAUUCUAUUGCAUUAUUUCUAUGAUUGCAUAUAUUCCCUUUCCUGACUUAAAAAAUUUGCCUCAACACUUCAUUAAUUACUUUCCCUCCUUUUCGCACCCUUUCAUUUCUUCAAGACACGUCUGUUCAGACGUGUCUUUUCAUUGACACUGCUAAUUAGUCUCUCUUCUAACCUUCAUUUAGUUCUCCUGUCAGUAUCUAUAAUUACUCUUAUUUUUCUCCGUCACACUCACUUCUCUCAAGACUAUUCCUUUGUCUCUCAUAAAAUCCUCAAAAAUUAUGGCCAAAAAUUCCAAGAACUCUGCCCCAUAUAUGUGCAAAAGCUCGCGGAAUAAGGCAAAAUCAACCCCUCAAAACCACAAACUUCUUGAUCUUGACUAUCUCCAGUCUAAGGAAUUUGUCUCCUCUACGGUUAAACCCUCCGACGAUGUUCGAAGUCGAGAAAGCAAAGCCCUGUGAAAACAACCAAUGGAAGACCUUGAGUACAUCUCUCCAAAGAAGGUUAAAUUUGACCUAGAUGGCCCGUAUGAUUCUGACAUCAACUUCUGGGACACCCCGAAUUGAGACAAGCACAUUGCUUUGAAGGAGAAACCUAUUGCACAUGGAAAAAUCAUCGAUCUUGAAGACAUGGAAAGCAACAAUUGCAAGGUAAACGACUUUUUCGAAUUUUAAAUAUGGAAAAACAUACUUACUCAAGCCCCUCCCAGAGUUUUUAAACUUUUGUUCGAAUGUUCUAUACCAAUAUUCGAUCCCAAAACUUGAUAAAAUUGAAUCCCUGGUUCUUGGUAAAUACAUUGUUCUUGAUUUCUCUAGUUUUGAUUCCAUGUUCAAUUGCAAGUGCUCCGGAUACGCCACUCUGUUUAAGAACUCUUAGCUAGAUGAUCUUGAAGUUUCGAUUGAACAAUCAAAGAAAUACAUUGCUAAAGCAUCCACUGACCCUCUCCCAAAUCAACUAGGCCAAACAAUAUCAAUUUUGAAACCAGAAUUGUUGCUACCACUAUUCUUCCUAAAAGAGCUUCCUUUUCUACUCUGUCUCAGCCAGAUAUAUUCCUAGCCUACUUCUUACUCGCUAAAGACAGGGUCAAACUCUUGUCCUAGGUGAUUUACGUUAUGCUCGAAAGUGCUGAUGACCCAACUAGUCUCCCAUACAACAUGAUCAUCACCCGUCUAUUGGAAGCACAUCAAAAUCUCUCUCAAACCUUCCGUUCCUUCUCGUGCCUAAGUGUUAUAACUCUAUAGACUUUGUUAACAUGGGGUACAUAUCUACGGAAGGAAUAUAGGUGAAGAAGCAUGAGACCGAAGGCAAGACCAUAACAACCCACUCCAAGGCAAAAGCUUCAACCUCUCACUCAUUUGAUCCAGAACUCUCCGCAAGAUUGGUGGAGAGAUAAAAAAUUUAAAACUGUCAAGGAACUUCUUGCUGCUACCAGACAAUGGUGGAAGACAUCAGGGAAAUAUAAAAGGAAGCCAAAUCUGAUACCUCAAAAAUUCGAGUCAAGUUGGAACGAAUGGCACAUGAGCCAGUUGGUGCAUUCAGGGAAGUGCAUGACUGUAUUGAUUGAUGGAAUCUCAAUCAUCAUGACAGCAAACUAUCAUCAGGAGGAACAUCAAUUCAGGGGGAGCACAUACUCAAGGGGAAAAGAUCCACACGCUCAUGUCAGGGAAGUAUCGUAAGUUGAUCAUCCUUAAUUAAUGUUCAAAUUAUUAUCAUCAAAAGGAGGGAGAUUGUUAGCCUUGUUUUAAUAAUGACAUCACUUGUAAAAUUGCAGGAUCAUAUUGAUGAAGGACAAUUCACUUGUGCAAAAAGAAAAAGGAAAAAAAAGAAUGUCUGUCGCACGAGGAAAAGUAAGACAGUGGAUCAUAAGGAAAGAGAGUCAAUCAAAAGCUGGAAGUUAGCAACUUAACAAGGAAAGAAGAAUCCGAAGAAUCAAUCAAGAGCUGAAAGAUAGCGGCUUACAUGGUAAGAAGAAUCAAUCAUUCAAUAAGAAAUCCCGCCAGCACAAAUCAAGCAAUUGAUGGAGUUUAUUUACUAAGAAUGACCUAAUUCAAAGCAAUCCAGAAAGGAAGCAUAUAUGUGAAAAUUAAGCAGCAUCUUGGAAGGCUUCAACUUUAUUUUUGGAAUAUCUUUCAAAGACCAAAUCUCUUGGUUGUCAUCUCUCUGUCAGCAGUAGAUUAAGGAAAUUAUCUGCUGAAUAUUUAUAACUCCAACGGCCUCCUUCUGUGUAUUUAAAAAGAUGAAGUACUCCAUGAUAAGAUAUACUUUCAUCUAACUAAUAUCAAGCUCUUUGUUCUA